rnacentral:rRNA from 1 species
GACGUAGGGCGCGAGCGUUGUCCGGAUUUAUUGGGCGUAAAGGGCGCGUAGGCGGCCUUUCAAGUGACGGGUGAAAUCCCCCGGCUUAACCGGGGAACUGCCUGUCAGACUGGGAGGCUUGAGACCGGGAGAGGUGAGUGGAAUUCCCAGUGUAGCGGUGAAAUGCGUAGAUAUUGGGAGGAACACCAGUGGCGAAGGCGGCUCACUGGGCUGACCUUGACGCUGAGGCGCGAAGGCGUGGGGAGCGAACGGG